AUUUAUUUCAUCGAUUAGAAGUAUGCAGUAACAGACCAGCAAAUGUCCAGAGCGUCAAAUCUGCAAUCAUGCUGAGUGUUUUUCUUAGUUCUAACCAAGAAAAAAAAUGAUGUCUAAAAUGACGACUGACGAUAUUACCUAACUAUCAUUUGAGAAUCAUAAUGUUACUUCUUCAUUAUAAAUUCUCAGAUAGAGGUAAAUAAAUAUUGUGUCAGCUGGAUGUUCGAUUUGCAGGAAUGAUAGUCAAAGAAUAGACGAACUAAGGCAUACAAGGAAGCCUACGAAACGACAGCAAAUUUAGAGCUAUGCCAAAUAACACCGAUUAGCUGUUAGGACCUUUCAUCGUUUACGAUUUGCAGCCAAAAAUUUGUAAUUUAGCCCAUUACAUGUAGAUGACAAUGAAUCAUGCAAAUAAAAGAUUUAAUUUGAUUUGUGUAAUAACUGUAGCUUGAUGUAAUAAAUACUCUUAUAUUA